rnacentral:rRNA from 1 species
UACGGGGGGGGCAAGCGUUGUUCGGAAUUACUGGGCGUAAAGGGCUCGUAGGUGGCCAACUAAGUCAGACGUGAAAUCCCCGGGCUCAACCCGGGAACUGCGUCCGAUACUGGUUGGCUUGAAUCCGGGAGAGGGAUGCGGAAUUCCAGGUGUAGCGGUGAAAUGCGUAGAUAUCAGGAGGAACACCGGUGGCGAAGGCGGGUCUCUGGGCAACAACUGACGCUGAGGAGCGAAAGCGUGGGGAGCGAACAGG